GUUCCAUUACAUGGUGGAAAGUUUCCUUCUUGUAAGCAGCAUAUCAAUGCCAACUGGUGAAUUCGAACCUACUUUUUAAGCAGAAUUUCUUUAUUUAUGAUGGGAGCAGGCUAACUAUCUUGCAGCUUGUAGUUCUCUCAACUUUCAGAAGUUUCUUCUUUCAUUUUAGUGCUUCUUACAAAUAUGAUUACACGAGAAGAGCUGAAUUAGAGGAUGCAGCUAAGAAAUCACGGGACUUCAACAUCUACAUUGUUAGAACUCAAUUGGAGAAUGUUUAGCUGGAGGAUUGCAAAAAGGCCAGCAACAACUCAGCUGCUGAGCUCUGUAGAAGCAUUAACAAUGCCAGGGGUUCAAAUCAUUGUUCUGAAUACCAUAUGCGCUGUGCCACGACUGCACAGAGAAAAUCUCCAGUUGCUCUCCAAAUGAAGAGUGCAUUCUCCGAAAUAGUAUUUGUACAUAACUUUUGCUUGAUGGUUGCUCCAGAUUUGCUGGAGUGUGUAGAGGAUGUAGCCCACAAGAAAGUGGAGGUGAGAGGGACAGUGGAUCCAAAGAAGAGACUGCUCAAUCAGGAAAAGAGGUUGAAUGGCAAAAGUUUUAUGAGAGGGGCUUAGAAAACACAAGGAUUUGGAACAGCCCCACCAGAACAAAUGCAAUGCUUUUUCACAGAGUCUUAUUUAUAGAACUGUUGUCUUUACUGGACAUCUAAUGAUAAAACAACAGCCUCAUAAUGAGAUUAUGAAGAAAAACAUUGGAUUUGAUCUCCAGUGAAGCUGCUUCAGAUCCUUGUGUUUUCUAAUGCUAGACAAUGCUUCUCCACAUAAUCUUAUUAAUGGGGCUUUGGUCUAGCAAAGACAACAGCCUCCAUCAAUAAGAUUAUGUGGAGAAGCAUUGCAUUUAUUCCCCUAGGACUGCUCCAAAUCCUUGUGUUUACCAAUGCUCUCAAACUGUAUGCUAUUCAAUCCCUUUUUCUGAUUGAGCAGUCUUUUCAUCCUCUAUUUGGAUCCAGUUCCUCUCACCGUCACUUUCUUGUGGGCUACAACCACUACUUAGUCAGCAAUUCCCUAGCACCCACCAAGCAAACUUUAUGUUCAAAUGCCAUUUUGUAGAAUUUGAUUGCACCACAAAUUAUUUAUCUUACACAUCUAUCAAAUGCUCUGUAUAGGAUUUCAAUCUAAUCAAGCUUGAAAAAAUUUCGACAUGAAAACAGACAAGGACUUAACGCCUUUAUGUCCCUUGAAAUGUCGGUACAUUUUCUUGCUAUAGUUGGAAAAAAAUGAAUGAAUCUCUCUUGUAUGCCAACUACAAAACUCAUACUGAAUAUAAAUAUAUAUUUAUGCCUUAGUCUUA